rnacentral:rRNA from 1 species
UACGUAGGGCGCAAGCGUUAUCCGGAAUUAUUGGGCGUAAAGCGCUCGUAGGCGGUUUGUCGCGUCUGCUGUGAAAGACCGGGGCUCAACUCCGGUUCUGCAGUGGGUACGGGCAGACUAGAGUGCAGUAGGGGAGACUGGAAUUCCUGGUGUAGCGGUGAAAUGCGCAGAUAUCAGGAGGAACACCGAUGGCGAAGGCAGGUCUCUGGGCUGUAACUGACGCUGAGGAGCGAAAGCAUGGGGAGCGAACAGG